AACGCGAAGAACCUUACCUGGGCUUGACAUCCCAUGAAAAGCGCAGAGAUGCGUAAUAGUCGCAAGACACAUGGAGACAGGUGCUGCAUGGCUGUCGUCAGCUCGUGUCGUGAGAUGUUGGGUUAAGUCCCGCAACGAGCGCAACCCUUUCCCUUAUUUGCCAGCAUUAAGUUGGGCACUCUAGGGGUACUGCCAAUGAUAAAUUGGAGGAAGGUGGGGACGAGGUCAAGUCAUCAUGGCUCUUACGUCCAGGGCAACACACGUACUACAAUGGCCAAGACAAAGCGAUGCAAGAUCGAAAGAUGGAGCCAAUCGCAAAAAACAUGGUCUCAGUUCGGAUUGUGGUCUGCAACUCGACCACAUGAAGUUGGAAUCUCUAGUAAUCGCAGAUCAGCAGGCUGCGGUGAAUACGUUCCCGGGCUUGUACACACCGCUAGUC
rnacentral:rRNA from 1 species